AGUCGAGGGGAUUUAUCUUCGGAUAGAGAGACCGGCGCACGGGUGCGUAACGCGUAUGCAAUCUACCUUUUGCAGAGGGAUAGCCCAGAGAAAUUUGGAUUAAUACCUCAUAGUAUAUAGAGCUGGCAUCAGCCCUAUAUUAAAGUCACAACGGCAAAAGAUGAGCAUGCGUCCCAUUAGCUAGUUGGUAAGGUAACGGCUUACCAAGGCUACGAUGGGUAGGGGUCCUGAGAGGGAGAUCCCCCACACUGGUACUGAGACACGGACCAGACUCCUACGGGAGGCAGCAGUGAGGAAUAUUGGACAAUGGGCGCAAGCCUGAUCCAGCCAUGCCGCGUGCAGGAUGACGGUCCUAUGGAUUGUAAACUGCUUUUGCACAGGAAGAAACAACGCUACGUGUAGCGUCUUGACGGUACUGUGAGAAUAAGGAUCGGCUAACUCCGUGCCAGCAGCCGCGGUAAUACGGAGGAUCCAAGCGUUAUCCGGAAUCAUUGGGUUUAAAGGGUCCGUAGGCGGUUUAGUAAGUCAGUGGUGAAAGCCCAUCGCUCAACGGUGGAACGGCCAUUGAUACUGCUAGACUUGAAUUAUUAGGAAGUAACUAGAAUAUGUAGUGUAGCGGUGAAAUGCUUAGAGAUUACAUGGAAUACCAAUUGCGAAGGCAGGUUACUACUAAUUGAUUGACGCUGAUGGACGAAAGCGUGGGUAGCGAACAGGAUUAGAUACCCUGGUAGUCCACGCCGUAAACGAUGGAUACUAGCUGUUGGGAGCGAUCUCAGUGGCUAAGCGAAAGUGAUAAGUAUCC
rnacentral:rRNA from 1 species